UUCCAUGGAGUUAGCAUACUGUUUUAAUGAAUAUGUUUCUUUAAUACAAUUAGCGGUUCCCGUAGUGGACAUGGCUGAGUUCGGUGAUCAGCAGGUGACUAUACUUGCUGAUGAUCUGGAGGAGCUGAAGACUGUGGAGCGAUCACAAUUCCGGAACGUGGUGGAAAAAGUAAUUGAAGAAGAUGUUCCAUGAUUGUACAAUUAUCCGACAGAAACAACAUCAGAAGUACCGAAUGAGUAUGAGCGGCAUCUGCUCUUCUUUAAAGGAAAGAAACUUGAGAGGAGCAGAGCAAUGUCCCACCUCAACGCCGUUACUGUAUGAUAUAACCAAAAGAAAUUUGGUACUUCCGGAUGCUGUACUACAGAGU